GAGAAAUAGGCAAUGUCCUUUGCAUUACCGUGGAGGAGUGUGUAUAAAAGCUUAGUUUGUGACGAUAGGCUGCACUUGGGCAGUUGGAUAUUGGAAAAUUAAGACACUGGCAAUGUAGUUGAUGGAGCUAGUGGAUAUGAUGGGUAAAGAGUUGAUAUAAUCUGUAUUCAAUAUCAAAAUAGAUGAGUAAGAAAGCAUCUUUCUGUUAAGUUGUGAAAAUGAAGAUAGGAAGAGCAUGACUUUGAUGACAGUGUCAUUAAGGCAUGAUAGUGAAAUGGAGAAAUAUGAUUUGUCUCUCAUGUGAUCGUUUUUUCCCUGCUUCUGUAAGAGUACUGUUUCACCUGGACCAGCUAUGAUUUGUGGUGGUGAA
rnacentral:misc_RNA from 1 species